rnacentral:rRNA from 1 species
AUUGAACGCUGGCGGCAGGCCUAACACAUGCAAGUCGAGCGGAUGAAGGGAGCUUGCUCCUGGAUUCAGCGGCGGACGGGUGAGUAAUGCCUAGGAAUCUGCCUGGUAGUGGGGGAUAACGUCCGGAAACGGGCGCUAAUACCGCAUACGUCCUGAGGGAGAAAGUGGGGGAUCUUCGGACCUCACGCUAUCAGAUGAGCCUAGGUCGGAUUAGCUAGUUGGUGGGGUAAAGGCCUACCAAGGCGACGAUCCGUAACUGGUCUGAGAGGAUGAUCAGUCACACUGGAACUGAGACACGGUCCAGACUCCUACGGGAGGCAGCAGUGGGGAAUAUUGGACAAUGGGCGAAAGCCUGAUCCAGCCAUGCCGCGUGUGUGAAGAAGGUCUCCGGAUUGUAAAGCACUUUAAGUUGGGAGGAAGGGCAGUAAGUUAAUACCUUGCCGUUUUGACGUUACCAACAGAAUAAGCACCGGCUAACUUCGUG